rnacentral:tRNA from 1 species
GUUAAGGUGGCAGAGCCCGGUAAUUGCGUAAAACUUCAACCUUUAUACUCAGAGAUUCAAAUCCUCUCCUUAACA